rnacentral:ncRNA from 2 species
UAGGCUAUGUUUAUAUAAUAAUUAAAUUUGAUCAUGGUUAACAAGUUGGGUUAAAAUGAUGUUAUCUAUUUUUGAUUCAUUUAGUGGGCAAUAUUUUUUAACCCCGGCUCUAUAUCGCUUGUAUAAUAUUUGUUCCAGAAUAAUCGGCUAGACCAAUUAAGCUUGUACUCUAAUUGUGGUAAAAUUAAACUUUAUUUUUUAUAUUUUUCUUUUUUUGGUAGAAUGAGAAAGGUUUUAUAUUUUUUUGUUUAAUUUGUAAGAUUUAAUAAGCGAACCAGAUUAGUACCUGGUUAGAUAAAAUUUAAAAGUGCAGGAGUAAAGUUAUAUUUAAACUGUAAAGAUAUUGGCAGGUCUCUUAAAUUAUCUUUGGAGGUUGGGUAAUAAUUGAGAACCCUCAUUUUCAGCUUUUUUUUUUGGCGCAUGUAUGAUCGUUUAUUUUAUUCUUAAAGAUUGUAAUUAGAAAUAAUUCUUUAAAAAAAUAGAUAAAUACCUGGUUUAUAAAAAAGUUUUAAUCUGACCUACAAUAUUUUAUAUUUUGGAUUUAUUUUUUUGAGAAUUUAAUGAAAUUGUAAAAGACAGUAAAUUAAUUUUGAUAUUUAAUUGAAGUUUAUCUAGAGACGGUACAAAUCAUCCAUCAAUUGCCCAAAGGGGAGUAAGUUGUAGUAAAGUAGGUUUAGGGGAAUCUGUACCUA